UUAAGUUAUUAAGGGCGCACGGUGGAUGCCUUGGCACUAGAAGCCGAUGAAGGACGUUACUAACGACGAUAUGCUUUGGGGAGCUGUAAGUAAGCUUUGAUCCAGAGAUUUCCGAAUGGGGAAACCCAGCAUGAGUUAUGUCAUGUUAUCGAUAUGUGAAUACAUAGCAUAUCAGAAGGCACACCCGGAGAACUGAAACAUCUUAGUACCCGGAGGAAGAGAAAGAAAAUUCGAUUCCCUUAGUAGCGGCGAGCGAAACGGGAAGAGCCCAAACCAACAAGCUUGCUUGUUGGGGUUGUAGGACACUCUAUACGGAGUUACAAAGGACGACAUUAGACGAAUCAUCUGGAAAGAUGAAUCAAAGAAGGUAAUAAUCCUGUAGUCGAAAAUGUUGUCUCUCUUGAGUGGAUCCUGAGUACGACGGAGCACGUGAAAUUCCGUUGGAAUCUGGGAGGACCAUCUCCUAAGGCUAAAUACUCUCUAGUGACCGAUAGUGAACCAGUACCGUGAGGGAAAGGUGAAAAGCACCCCGGAAGGGGAGUGAAAUAGAACCUGAAACCGUGUGCUUACAAGUAGUCAGAGCCCGUUAAUGGGUGAUGGCGUGCCUUUUGUAGAAUGAACCGGCGAGUUACGAUUUGAUGCAAGGUUAAGCAGUAAAUGUGGAGCCGUAGCGAAAGCGAGUCUGAAUAGGGCGUUUAGUAUUUGGUCGUAGACCCGAAACCAGGUGAUCUACCCUUGGUCAGGUUGAAGUUCAGGUAACACUGAAUGGAGGACCGAACCGACUUACGUUGAAAAGUGAGCGGAUGAACUGAGGGUAGCGGAGAAAUUCCAAUCGAACCUGGAGAUAGCUGGUUCUCUCCGAAAUAGCUUUAGGGCUAGCCUCAAGUGAUGAUUAUUGGAGGUAGAGCACUGUUUGGACGAGGGGCCCCUCUCGGGUUACCGAAUUCAGACAAACUCCGAAUGCCAAUUAAUUUAACUUGGGAGUCAGAACAUGGGUGAUAAGGUCCGUGUUCGAAAGGGAAACAGCCCAGACCACCAGCUAAGGUCCCAAAAUAUAUGUUAAGUGGAAAAGGAUGUGGCGUUGCCCAGACAACUAGGAUGUUGGCUUAGAAGCAGCCAUCAUUUAAAGAGUGCGUAAUAGCUCACUAGUCGAGUGACACUGCGCCGAAAAUGUACCGGGGCUAAACAUAUUACCGAAGCUGUGGAUUGUCCUUUGGACAAUGGUAGGAGAGCGUUCUAAGGGCGUUGAAGCAUGAUCGUAAGGACAUGUGGAGCGCUUAGAAGUGAGAAUGCCGGUGUGAGUAGCGAAAGACGGGUGAGAAUCCCGUCCACCGAUUGACUAAGGUUUCCAGAGGAAGGCUCGUCCGCUCUGGGUUAGUCGGGUCCUAAGCUGAGGCCGACAGGCGUAGGCGAUGGAUAACAGGUUGAUAUUCCUGUACCACCUAUAAUCGUUUUAAUCGAUGGGGGGACGCAGUAGGAUAGGCGAAGCGUGCGAUUGGAUUGCACGUCUAAGCAGUAAGGCUGAGUAUUAGGCAAAUCCGGUACUCAUUAAGGCUGAGCUGUGAUGGGGAGAAGACAUUGUGUCUUCGAGUCGUUGAUUUCACACUGCCGAGAAAAGCCUCUAGAUAGAAAAUAGGUGCCCGUACCGCAAACCGACACAGGUAGUCAAGAUGAGAAUUCUAAGGUGAGCGAGCGAACUCUCGUUAAGGAACUCGGCAAAAUGACCCCGUAACUUCGGGAGAAGGGGUGCUCUUUAGGGUUAACGCCCAGAAGAGCCGCAGUGAAUAGGCCCAAGCGACUGUUUAUCAAAAACACAGGUCUCUGCUAAACCGUAAGGUGAUGUAUAGGGGCUGACGCCUGCCCGGUGCUGGAAGGUUAAGAGGAGUGGUUAGCUUCUGCGAAGCUACGAAUCGAAGCCCCAGUAAACGGCGGCCGUAACUAUAACGGUCCUAAGGUAGCGAAAUUCCUUGUCGGGUAAGUUCCGACCCGCACGAAAGGCGUAACGAUUUGGGCACUGUCUCAACGAGAGACUCGGUGAAAUCAUAGUACCUGUGAAGAUGCAGGUUACCCGCGACAGGACGGAAAGACCCCGUGGAGCUUUACUGUAGCCUGAUAUUGAAAUUCGGCACAGCUUGUACAGGAUAGGUAGGAGCCUUUGAAACGUGAGCGCUAGCUUACGUGGAGGCGCUGGUGGGAUACUACCCUAGCUGUGUUGGCUUUCUAACCCGCACCACUUAUCGUGGUGGGAGACAGUGUCAG
rnacentral:rRNA from 1 species